rnacentral:rRNA from 1 species
GACGAACGCUGGCGGCGUGCUUAACACAUGCAAGUCGAACGGAAAGGCCCUGCUUUUGUGGGGUUCUUGAGUGGCGAACGGGUGAGUAACACGCGAGUAUCCUGCCCUUGUCUUUGGGAUAACUUCAGGAAACUGGGGCUAAUACCGGAUAGGAGCUUCUGCUGCACGGUGGGGGUUGGAAAGUUUCGGCGGUUGGGGAUGGACUCGCGGCUUAUCAGCUUGUUGGUGUGGUAGUGGCUUACCAAGGCUUUGACGGAUAGCCGGCAUGAGAGGGUGACCGGCCACCUUGGGACUGAGAGACGGCCCAGACGCCUACGGGAGGCAGCAGGGGGGAAUAUUGCGCAAUGGGCGGAAGCCUGAUGCAGCAGCGCCCCGUGCGGAAUGACGGCCUUCGGGUUGUAAACCGCUUUCGCCGGAGACGAAGCGUGAGUGACGGUAAUGAGUAAAGAAGCACCGGCUAACUACGUG